UGGAGAGUUUGAUCCUGGCUCAGAUUGAACGCUGGCGGCAGGCCUAACACAUGCAAGUCGAGCGGAAACGAGUUAUCUGAACCUUCGGGGAACGAUAACGGCGUCGAGCGGCGGACGGGUGAGUAAUGCCUAGGAAAUUGCCCUGAUGUGGGGGAUAACCAUUGGAAACGAUGGCUAAUACCGCAUGAUGCCUACGGGCCAAAGAGGGGGACCUUCGGGCCUCUCGCGUCAGGAUAUGCCUAGGUGGGAUUAGCUAGUUGGUGAGGUAAGGGCUCACCAAGGCGACGAUCCCUAGCUGGUCUGAGAGGAUGAUCAGCCACACUGGAACUGAGACACGGUCCAGACUCCUACGGGAGGCAGCAGUGGGGAAUAUUGCACAAUGGGCGCAAGCCUGAUGCAGCCAUGCCGCGUGUGUGAAGAAGGCCUUCGGGUUGUAAAGCACUUUCAGUCGUGAGGAAGGYRGURKWGUUAAUAGCYSYAUYRUUUGACGUUAGCGACAGAAGAAGCACCGGCUAACUCCGUGCCAGCAGCCGCGGUA
rnacentral:rRNA from 1 species